rnacentral:rRNA from 1 species
AGAUUAGAGUUUGAUCCUGGCUCAGAAUAAGUCGUAACAAGGUAACCGUAAGUCGUAACAAGGUAACCGUUAGUCGUAACAAGGCAACCGUAGAGUUUGAUCCUGGCUCAGUGACUGGGGUGAAGUCGUAACAAGGUAACCGUAAGUCGUAACAAGGUAACCGGAGAGUUUGAUCCUGGCUCAGAAUGAACGCUGGUGGCGUGCCUAACACAUGCAAGUCGUAACAAGGUAGCCGUAAGUCGCAACAAGGUAACCGUAGAGUUUGAUCCGGCUCAGGAAAGUCGUAACAAGGUAACCGUA